GACAGAGGAUGCAAGCGUUGUCCGGAUUUAUUGGGCGUAAAGAGCGUGUAGGCGGUUCGGUAAGUCUGUCGUGAAAUCCUGAGGCUCAACCUCGGGCGUGCGAUGGAUACUGCCGGACUAGAGUACAGAAGGGGCAACUGGAAUUCUCGGUGUAGCGGUGAAAUGCGUAGAUAUCGAGAGGAACACCUGCGGCGAAGGCGGGUUGCUGGGCUGAUACUGACGCUGAGGCGCGAAAGCGUGGGGAGCAAACAGG
rnacentral:rRNA from 1 species